ensembl:lncRNA
GGCCUCUUUCUGUUUGGUCAAUCAGCAGCUGCAAAGGAUGCGUAGGAUGGAGCUAAAUUUAUUUGUUCCUUUCUUUCUCAGCAACAGCGAUGAGGCCCGAGGUGCAGCUGUCUCGCCUCGCCUGUCUUUUGCAGGCACCGGCAUGCACAGAAGACGGCUCUCCGGGAGGAAGAUUCCUUUCCAUUUUGUUCGCUCUCUGCCUCCGCAAGGCUCCCAGCCACCUCUAGGGAGUACAGGGCGAGAUCCUGUGCCAGCGGCUCCAGUUUUGCUGAGUCAGAAGAAUCCCACAGCCGCUCACCGGAAACACAGCUGUUGGGCGAAAAUAACCACAGAGCUGAGCAUCAUGCACCUUCCAGAAAAGAUGGCAGAAAACCUCAAAACAAAAGAGAAAUACAAAACAAUAAGAGACACUGUCAAGAAAAAAAAAAAAAAAAACCACCGCAGCUCACUAACCGAUCCAAGCUGGUGGCGCUCUCCUGAUCUCUCUCCACUCCCAGGCCAAGCAAUGACUCUGAAAUAAAGCUAAGUUUGGCUGCGUUUAUUUACAUACACACACACACACACACCUUUUUUUUUUUUUUUUUUUUUUAAAGAGACUGUCUUGCUGUGUCGCCCAGGCUGGAAUACAAUGGUGUGAUCUCGGCUCACUGCAACCUCUGCCUACUGGGUUCAAGCGGUUCUCCUGCCUCAGCCUUCCGAGUAGCUAGGAUUACAAGUGCGCUACCAGCCCAGCCAAUUUUUGUAUUUUUAGUAGAGACGAGGUUUCACCAUGUUGGCCAGGCUUGUCUCGAACUCCUGACCUCAAGUAAUCCACCCACCUCGGCCUCCUGAAGUCUUGGGAUUAUAGGUGUGAGCCAUCACACCUGGCCUACUUUUACACUGUAGUGGGUUUAAUCGUGUCUCCCCAGUCACACCUCCACCAAAAAAGGAAAAGCUAUGUCCACAGUCUAAUGUGCUGCAGCACCUGUGAAUGUGAUCUUAAUGGAGAAAGGAUCUUUGCAGGUGUAAAUUAAUUUUAGGAUCUCAAGAUUAAAUCAUCCUAGACUACCUGGGUGGACCUCAAAUCCAAUGACAGGUAUCCUUAUAAAAGCAAGGCAGAUCCAGCUUGGGCAACAUAGUGAGACCCUGUUUCUACAAAAAGUUUAAAAAAAAAAAAAAGGCUGGGCAUAGUGGCUCACACCUCUAAUCCCAGCAUCUUGGGAGUCCCAGGUGGGCAGAUCACUUGAGGUCAGGAGUUCAAGACCAGCCUGCCCAAUGUGGCUUAACCUCAUCUCUACUAAAAAUACAAAAAUUAGCUGGGCAUGGUAGUGCAUGCCUGUAAUCCCUGCUAUGGGAGGCUGAGACACAAGAAUCACUCGAACCCAGGAAGCAGAGAUUGCAGUGAGCUGAGAUCGUGCCACUGCACUCCAGCUUGGGCAACAGAGCACGACUCCAUCUCGGAAAAAAAAAAAAAGAUGCCGUGGGGGAGAGUGGUGCGUGCCUGUGGUCCCAGCUACUUGUGAGGCUGAGACAGGAGGAUCUCUUGAGCCCAGAAGUUCGAGGCUGCAGUGAGCUAUGAUGGCACCACUGUACUCCAGCCUGGGUGACCAAGUGAGACUUUGUCUCAAAAUAAAAAGAAUGUGGCAGAGGUAGAUGGAUAGAUU